CAGCAGCCACGGUAAUACAGAGGUCUCAAGCGUUGUUCGGAUUCAUUGGGCGUAAAGGGUGCGUAGGUGGCUUGGUAAGUUGAAGGUGAAAUCUCGGGGCUUAACUCUGAAACUGCUUUCAAUACUGCUGAGCUCGAGGAUUGUAGAAGAGAAUGGAAUUCACGGUGUAGCAGUGAAAUGCGUAGAUAUCGUGAGGAAGACCAGUGGCGAAGGCGAUUCUCUGGGCAAUUCCUGACACUGAGGCACGAAGGCCAGGGGAGCAAACGGGAUUAGAUACCCGCGUAGUCCCUGUCUCUUAUAC
rnacentral:rRNA from 1 species